UAUGCCCAUAGCAUGUUUGAACACUGUUUUUCAUUCGGUCACUGAAGUUAAGCAACAUUGAGCCUGAUCAGUACUUAGACUGAUGACCACUUGGAAAUACCAGGUGCUAUA